rnacentral:antisense_RNA from 1 species
UCGGUAGAGAUCUUCUCCACUUCCUUUGUCGUCGUUUCCUUCUUCUCUUCUUCUCCUCCAAUCUGAAGUUUCUCGGCAACCAUAUCAGAAAAGGCUUUGUCUUCUUCUUCAGUUGUCAGUUUCUCCGCCACAUAAUCUCUACCCGACACACUUUUAUCUUCCCCUCGUUGCUCCUCUACUCCACUUCCACCUCCGGAGAUAGGUAACUUCGUCGUCACGGCAGACUCUGUUUCUUGAUCCUUCUCAUUGACCGGAGUCAACUUCUCAUCAACAGUUCCCGCCACUUGAGUUUGAUCUCCCACCGGAAUUUCUCCGGAGUAACCUAGCAUUGAAGCAAACUUCUCUGUGUAAGUGCUCUGUUUUGGCUCCUCUGUUUUCUCAUCUCUCGUCUCCUCAAAAUCAUCUCUGGACUCCUUAAACUCAUCUCUUUCUUUAGGAUGAGAAAGUUCCGGUGAGAAUUGAUCAAGAGUCUCCGUCUUUGGGUCUCUUCCCAGCUCAGUCUCUACUUCCACAUCAUCACUUCUCGCCGGAAAUUUAUCCUCUUCUGAUGCCUCACCGUAUCCAGGUCUUCCCUUCGCCAGAAAAUCUGGUUCUCCGUCAAAUCCCGUCGGCACAUCCUUGUCGAUAUCAGAUUCGUUCUUCAGAUCCAACUCAUGACUUCUCACCGGAAAAUUUCCUCCCAACGGAGCUCCUAAACCGCCGUCAGAUUCCGGCGAAUACUCGUUUCUUCCAGAAUCGUUCUUCUGAUCAAAUUCUUUUUCCAGCUCAGCUCCUGAUUCACUACCAAAGCCCAUCGGAGAAUUCUUGUCGUUUCCAGAUUCAGUCUUCAGAUCAAAUUCAUGGCUUCUUGAUGGAGAAUUCGUGUCCAUUCCAGUUUCAGUCUUCAUAUCAAAAUCAUGACUUCUCGUCGGAAAAUCUUUUUCCAGCUCAGCUCCUGACUCGUCACCAAAGCCCACCGGGAAAACAACUCCUGAUUCACCUGGAAAUUUCGCCGGCGAAUCCUUACCGAGAACAGAGUCAAAGUCCUGAUCAAACUCUUUGAAUUCUUUGCUUCUCGUCGACAAGUCUCUUUCAAAUUGUCCUGGCUUCUGAUCAGGAGACUCAUCAGUCACUUCCAUAUUACCAAAAGACUCAGCAAUCUCCGGUACUCCUCCAGUUUCUAAACCAAACACAACGUAACAGAGUUAUUACAUAUUCAUAAUCACUAAAGAAAAACACAAUCUUAAAAGGUCAAAGUUCUUACCUUCUUUGGUGGGAUCAGUAACUUUGGACUGAUAAUUAGAUACACCACUAAGAUAGUCUGAAACAGCCGACUCUUCCUCCAACGUUAUCGGGGUCUCGACGUUGACCUUCCGUUGACCAUCAAGAUAUUCAUCAUCACCACUUGGAGCAAACGUACUCGUUACAUCCUCUGUUCCAGAAAGCAGAGAGACCGGAGUGUUCAAUGACUCAUGAUGAGUCUCUCUACUCUCUUCUCUGUCUGACAAUUCGGACAGAGGAUGAUGAAUCGGUACAUCUCUUUUCUCUUCCUUGUCCGAUGUAAACGUCGUCCUUACAGAAUGAGCCGGUGCAUCGUGUCCGUAAGAGGCCUCUUGUACUGGUACAGAUUCAGUGGGUUUGGUGUAAUCGGAAGACACGACAGGAAACACCUUUGUCCCUGGUGGAAUAAUUUCCUCCGAUGCUGGAACAUUAGUUUCUCUAGGUUUACCUGUUACGCCUGCAUAUACAGAUACCAAACCGUUAAUGUCACGCAAAAUUGAAUAACCAAUAGUUUUUAGAUCAUAAGUUGAAUGAAACUACAAAAGAAAGUAACCUGGUGCAUCGAUCACUUCAGGUUCUAGCUCGUCAUCAUCAUCAUCUUCUUCAACCAAAUCAUGAUCUUGCUCAUGCUCAUUGCUUUGUCCAUGUUU